rnacentral:rRNA from 1 species
GCCCCAUGCUCCAGAAUAGCUCUUGGAAACGGGUGGUAAUGCUGGAUGCUCCAACUUGACGCAUGUCUUGUUGGGAAAGUGUUUAGUGGCAUGGGAUGGGGUCGCGUCCUAUCAGCUUGUAGGCGGGGUAAUGGCCCAACCUAGGCUUCGACGGGUAGCCGGCCUGAGAGGGCGGACGGCCACAUUGGGACUGAGAUACGGCCCAGACUCCUACGGGAGGCAGCAGCG